rnacentral:rRNA from 1 species
CCUACGGGAGGCAGCAGUGGGGAAUAUUGCACAAUGGGGGAAACCCUGAUGCAGCGACGCCGCGUGAGUGAAGAAGUAAUUCGUGAUGUAAAGCUCUAUCAGCAGGGAAGAAAAUGACGGUACCUGAGUAAGAAGCCCCGGCUAACUACGUGCCAGCAGCCGCGGUAAUACGUAGGGGGCAAGCGUUAUCCGGAUUUACUGGGUGUAAAGGGAGCGUAGACGGCAGUGCAAGUCUGGAGUGAAAGGCGGGGGCUCAACCCCCGGACUGCUCUGGAAACUGUACGGCUGGAGUGCAGGAGAGGUAAGUGGAAUUCCUAGUGUAGCGGUGAGAUGCGUAGAUAUUAGGAGGAACACCAGUGGCGAAGGCGGCUUACUGGACUGUAACUGACGUUGAGGCUCGAAAGCGUGGGGAGCAAACAGGAUUAGAUACCCCUGUAGUC